UAGGGUUAAGGUUUUAUGGUUUGGAAUUGGUUCAAAUGGAACCUAUUGGAGCUCAAGAGAUGGUUCUAGCUCACAUUGAAGCUUUGAACCAUGGAUUGCACCAUUGAUGCAAACCUAGGGUUAGAGUUUGGGUUUUGAACCCUAGAUCUUAGUUUUGAUCUCCCUACAAGCUUUAGAGCUUCAUAGUAGCCGAAGAACACAUGAAAUCCAUGGUUUCUUCGUAGUGCUCUAAUGGUGGAUUUCUAGGGGUUGUUCCAAAUGCCCUAGAAAUGGUUCAAAUGGUUUGGAAAUGGGAUUAGAGAGCUUCUUGGGUGGUUCUAAGCUUAAUUAUGCUUAGCUAUGAGAUCAAUCCCAAGAAAUUUGAUUAUGGCAUUGUUAGGGCACCGAAAUUGGGGCUUUUGCCUCCGGGUGUUUCUAAGGCAAAUUGGCCUUAUAGAAACCUAAUUGGGGACCUAACGAACGCGUUGAAACGCUCGGUUCGGCAAUCCGACGAGCGUACGCGAGGUUAUUGACGAAACGGUCGGUUUUGGUACAGAUAGCCGCAGCACGCGGAAUAAAGGUUUAAAAAUUAUGAGAUCGGAACUGGAGCACCUUGGAGUCAAGGAAUAAACUCCGGAAAAGACGGAUCACGGUUUGGAGGUCGUUUGGAAGUCACGCAAGAGUUCGGGCCAAACCGGGCAACGGUUGCCGCCGGAGGCCGAUUGCAAGUGACUACGAGCAAUCGGAGCGCGAGUUAAGGUGGGUUGGUUUACCGAAGCGACUAGGUCGCCUUUAUGUCUAAGAAAUUAAGAAUCCAUGUUGAUGCAUAUAAAUGUAAAUGGCAAGGAGAUCGCUCAGUUAGGCAAUACGAGCGGGAGUUUUCCCGUAUCGUGCAUUGUGUCCCAAACUUGGUACGAGAUGACAAGGACAAGGCUGACUGCUUUGUGCGUGGACUGCGGCCAGGCCUUUACAAGGCUGUGCUUGUACACAGGUUGCAGACUUUUGCUGAAGUCCUGGAUCGGGCCUUGUGGAUAGAACAAGGCGAGGCAUAUCUGCGAGAGGAGCGCGAGGCAUGUUACAAGGAAAAGGGGAAAGGACGACCAACAGGUGGAUCCAGUGGUCAGUCAAGUUCCCAACGGACUUCGACGAGUUCGCACUCGCGAUCCCGAGCUCCGGGGACAUACCGUAUUCGGUCCUCGGCGAAAUGUGCUAUCUGUGGAGGCCCUCAUUUUCCACAGUAGUGUGAGCAGCGAGAGGGCAAGUGCUUCAAGUGUGGGCUGCCGGGUCAUAUGCGAGACGAGUGUCCGCGUGGUGACGGACGGACCUUGGCACUGGCGACGGCGUAUUCCUCUCUGGGACAGCCUGCAGGUGUGCCCCCUGCGGCAUGGCCGGGAGAGCAGCCGUUGAGGACGAUGCAACCAGAGGGUUCGCGACGAGCGCCAGGUGGGCACGGAUAAGCUACCCGAAUCACGGAGCCUGCCGCUGCUGACGUCAUCAUGGCAGGUAUGAGUUAAUUGAGAAAGCAUGUGCUUUUACUAAUCUCAAGUUGGUGCAUAGCAUGCAUUUAUUGUUGGUCGGUUGCUACUAAUUAUAUUUAUUGCAUAGUAGGGACCGAAUAGUCAGGUAAGUAGACGCCCGUACAUGCUUGCAUUGUGAGAGGUGGCGCCUGCUGAUGCAGGUAGGAAGCCAAGUGGUGCUAGCUAAUGGCUAGUGAUGAUUCUCCGGUAAGGAAUGAGAUCCGUGGAGAACAUGGUCUAGUAAGUGACUCUCGAAAUAAUGGAUUGGAAAAAAAAAAAAAAUUGUGGAAGUUGAGCCUUAGUGUUGAGGAUACCCGAAAGAUUCGGGAGUUGAGAAUGUGUUCCGAUAGAUCGGACAGUGAAAGUAGAAUCACCGUGGUGAGAGUAGCCGUGUAGUUGACGGACGCGGGCCCGUUGGCCUAGUAAUACCUCGAAGUUGAGGUGGACAAGCUGUGCUCUUGUAGUGGACGUGCAUAGGCAAGCUGCCCGAUGCUGGAUUUCAUGUUAGACGCGGUAGAGGCGUAGAGCGCUCGAGUAUAAUUACUCGUGAGGUGCGGUUUCAAUUCAGCCAGUUGAGUGAGUUGGCAGUAGCACUUUAGCAGGGCUAAGUGUGAAGCGGGCCAUGGAUCACUCGUGGGGCUGGUGGCUCGCACAAGGUGCUUAAGAGCCGAUAGAGGUACUUGUAGCUCUGGUAGAGCAUGUCGUGUAAGACGACGUUGGCGGGUAGUGCUUGGGGACGACCCAUGCCUGGACCACUUGUGGACUGUGGAGCCUGGACCCAUUUGGCAGGCGCAGUCAGCUGUGAGAGACAGCGGCCCGGUACCUAUUGGUAGGGCGAGAGUUUUGGUCAGGACGGUAGUCCGAGCUUAGACCCGAGUACGUGGAAUGUCACGUGUUAGAGUGCGAGAUUGAUGAUGCACCGAGUGUGUAGUGACCCAACCCAAGGAUUUGAUGUGGAUUGGGGUCUUGAUAGCUCCUGGUUGGAGUGUGUGCGAGUUCUCCAAUGAGAAUGUCGCCCAAUGAUGAUUGGGUCUACGCUUGCGAGCGAGAGACGCUAGGCGUCGUUGAGACGAGUUUAGUUGGUAGGCCUACGUAGGGUGGGUGACUGUUGGUCCACCCGUAGAGACUGAUGGUCGGUGCGACCAAUGACUCCGUGAAUGAGCUUAGGCUCGAGUUGCGAACGAAGGGUUCGUGCAAAUCCACAGCUGGAGUAGAGUGGCGUUGAUCGUGGCUUAUGAUAUUAAAGGAUAAAGAGAAGCCGAAGUGCUCUUAUAAGGCCUUGAGCUAAUGAAAGCCACGUGAGAAUUGGAGUUGAAGUUAGUGGAUAAUCCUCUCAAAAGAGUUGAGGUUGAGACGCGCCGAAGUGUGCCGUCUCGUGAUAGGGCAAGGAUUCGAUUGAGAUUGAAGCACUCGCGAUGGGCCGAUGCACCAAUGAUUUUGUCGCUAUGCAAUGCCGGUGGUCGGAAUCGGAGUGGAAAGGUGCGUUGGUUCCCUCGAUAACUCGAUAGAUCGAGUGGAGAUGUGGUUUGAAUUUCGCGGACGAAAUUCUUUUAAGGUGGGGAGAAUGUAACCCCCAAGAUCUCGGUGAAUAUUGUGGACUUUAGCCAAAUUGACUAAAGUACUCGAAGGGAUUGGUUGGACGCGAUCCAUUAACGUUCCAACACUGUUGGAAGGGUUAAAAAUAAGCUUUAAAUGAGUUGGAAGGAUUUUGGCAUCGAACGACGCGAAAUAGGGCGGAAUCGAAGUCAAAAAUGACUUUUUGGAUGUCUUGUACCGGUACAAGACCAAUGGUUGUGCCGGUACAACCAGCGUAGUACAAUGGCUUGGAGCUGCCAGGCCUUGUACCGGUACAAGAGGCCUUGUACCGGUACAAGCCCUGCGUAACCGAGAGACCAGCCCUCGGGUUGGGCUAUCUGCCAGGCCUUGUACCGGUACAAGAAACCGUGUACCGGUACAAGGAGCCCGAACAGCAGGAAAUUGACCUAUUGCGAAUAUGAUUGGUUGGGGGGUUUAUUUGCAAUUGUUGCAAUAUAACAAAUACCCCAAACAUCUCUCUCUCUCUCCCAGCUGCUCUUUCUCCCUCUCUCAACCGUGCAUAGCAAAGAGAGAGAAAAGAAGAGAAGGAGAAGGAAAAGAGAAGAAGAGAAGGAAAAAAGGGGAAGAAAAAGGAGAAGGAGAAAGAGAAGGAGACCAUGAAGGAGAUCUUCUUCCCCCUAUUCAUCUUCUUCCUCACCUUGGAGCAAGCAUAGAGAGGUAAGCCUCAAACCCUACCAUGGUGGAUUUCUAGGGUUAAGGUUUUAUGGUUUGGAAUUGGUUCAAAUGGAACCUAUUGGAGCUCAAGAGAUGGUUCUAGCUCACAUUGAAGCUUUGAACCAUGGAUUGCACCAUUGAUGCAAACCUAGGGUUAGAGUUUGGGUUUUGAACCCUAGAUCUUAGUUUUGAUCUCCCUACAAGCUUUAGAGCUUCAUAGUAGCCGAAGAACACAUGAAAUCCAUGGUUUCUUCGUAGUGCUCUAAUGGUGGAUUUCUAGGGGUUGUUCCAAAUGCCAUAGAAAUGGUUCAAAUAGUUUGGAAAUGGGAUUAGAGAGCUCUUGGGUGGUUCUAAGCUUAAUUAUGCUUAGCUAUGAGAUCAAUCCCAAGAAAUUUGAUUAUGGCAUUGUUAGGGCACCGAAAUUGGGGCUUUUGCCUCCGGGUGUUUCUAAGGCAAAUUGGCCUUGUAGAAACCUAAUUGGGGACCUAACGAACGCGUUGAAACGCUCGGUUCGGCAAUCCGACGAGCGUACGCGAGGUUAUUGACGAAACGGUCGGUUUUGGUACAGAUAGCCGCAGCACGCGGAAUAAAGGUCUAAAAAUCAUGAGAUCGGAACUGGAGCACCUUGGAGUCAAGGAAUAAACUCCGGAAAAGACGGAUCGCGGUUCGGAGGUCGUUUGCUAAGUCGCGCAAGAGUUCGGGCCAAACCGGGCAACGGUUGCCGCGGGAGGCCGAUUGCAAGUGACUACAAGCAAUCGGAGCGCGUGUUAAGGUGGGUUGGUUUACCGAAGCGACUAGGUCGCCUUUAUGUCUAAUUAUUAGACUUUCAUGUUGAUGCAUGUUGAUGAUCGGCAUAGUUGAUGCUAAGUAGAAAUGCAUAAUAUGAUGUAGAUGCUAAAGUUGAUGCAUAUAAAUGUAAAUGAUGCAUGUAGCUAAAUAAUGCAUGAUGAUAGUGUGAUGUAAUUGCUAAAUAGAAUGCAUUAUGAGCAUGUUGAAUAAAGCUAGAUAAUUAUGUGAAUGCAUGUAAGCAUAAUGCAUAGAAUGAAAUGCAUAUUGAUGAUAUAAGUUAAAAUGAGAUAUAGAAUGCAUGUUGACAUUGUGAGAUAAAUGUGCAUGAAACUAGGUUGAUAACCCUAGAAUGAUUAAAGUGAAUGAUGCUAUGCUAAAGUAUAAGUGAUAAGCAUGAUAUAAGAAUAGUAAAUGCAAGUGCAUGUUAAGAAUGCUAAGUAAGGAACAUAUAUAGGUGGACAUGAAUAAACCUAUAGAUCGAGUGGCAUUAAACCUAGUGUCGAGGACAUAGGUUAAAUAAAUGAGAUGUUGAACCUAAUGUAAAGAACAUAGGUUAAAUAAGAGGGAUGUUGAACCUAAUGUAAAGGACAUAGGUUGUGAAAUGAAAGCUGCUUAACCUAGAGUCAAGUAAACCUAGGUUGGAAAAGAAUGAUGAUCCUAGUGUAAUAAACCUAGGUUAAGAAUGUGAAAGCAAUAAACCUAAAGUAAUAACUUAGGUUGUGUAAAGGACAAUGAACCUAGAGUCGAUUGGACCUAGGAGAUAAAUGCUUAGACCUAGAGAGGUCAGUUCCAUAGGGUUAAGACCAACCCUUGGUUGAUGUGAUAUGGAUUCCGGAAUCCCGCUGCUUGCUGCUACACCCAAAGUGGUGUCGGGUGUGUGCGACGAUUUCGCCGCCCAGGGGCUAGAGAACCAUUGUCGUGGCGUGUGUGCGACGAUUUCGCCGCCGGAUGGUUAGCCAGUUUGUGGAUCCUACCGCCUGUUGACUGAACCACUGUCGUGGCGUGUGUGCGACGAUUUCGCCGCCGGGUGACUAAGUCAUUGAACCUAGGCCGUUGUUGGGUGAGGUGCGAUUCGUUCGCCGCCAGACGGCUAGGACAGGAGUACGGUGAGCUGUUGCCAGCUGAGGUGCAUGUGAGAGUUCCUUCACCUCGAGCUAGACAGUGCGCGGACUAUCCGCGAUUGAUUGACUCAAGACCGAGUCGGGUGGCUUUGUUGACUAAGGUAAAGUGACCUUAGAGUAGAAUGCCAAAGGCUAAGAUAUAGCAUGGUUCAAGAAUGUUAAGAGUAAAGAAUAGCUAAAGAACAAAGAGUGGCUAAAGAAUAAUGAAUAGCUAAAGAAAGGAAUAGCUAAGAGCUAAAAGUAAGCAUCAAAUGGCAAAGAGUAAAGAAUGAUUAAGAACAUAAGUAGUGUUAAAGUAACCUACUUGCAUGAUUCCAGAUAUUGCAUAUUGCAUUUCGUGAGGC
rnacentral:lncRNA from 1 species